rnacentral:rRNA from 1 species
AGAGUUUGAUCAUGGCUCAGGAUGAACGCUAGCGGCAGGCCUAAUACAUGCAAGACGAACGGUAAGUUGAGUAGCAAUACUUGACCUAGAGUGUCGUAAGGGUGCGUAACAAGUAUGCAAUCUGCCCUAUACUGGAGGAUAGCUCCCCGAAAGGGGAAUUAACACUCCAUAAGAUUGUGGUGUGGCAUCACACAGCAAUUAAAACUAAGGUGGUAUAGGAUGAGCAUGCUUCUGAUUAGCUAGUUGGUAGUGUAAUGGACUACCAAGGCGAUGAUCAGUAGGGGAACUGAGAGGUUGAUCCCCCACACUGGCACUGAGAUACGGGCCAGACUCCUACGGGAGGCAGCAGUAGGGAAUAUUGGACAAUGGGUGCAAGCCUGAUCCAGCCAUGCCGCGUGCAGGAAGAAGGCCUUAUGGGUUGUAAACUGCUUUUGCCAGGGGAUAAAAAGCUCGUGCGCGAGAAAUUGAAGGUACCUGGUGAAUAAGCCACGGCUAACUACGUGCCAGCAGCCGCGGUAAUACGUAGGUGGCAAGCGUUGUCCGGAUUUAUUGGGUUUAAAGGGUGCGUAGGUGGUCUAUUAAGUCAGUGCUGAAAUAUCCCGGCUUAACCGGGAGGGUGGCAUUGAUACUGAUGGACUUGAGUGAAGUCGAGGUAGGCGGAAUUGACGGUGUAGCGGUGAAAUGCUUAGAUAUCGUCAAGAACACCGAUAGUGUAGACAGCUUACUAGGCUUUAACUGACACUGAGGCACGAAAGUGUGGGGAUCAAACAGGAUUAGAUACCCUAGUAGUCC